GCAUGCAUGAAGCCACAGUGGAGAGGAAAACUCCCCUUUAACAGGGAGGAGAACCUCCAGCAGGUUGCAUCAAGUCUGUCCAAGCAGCAGUCUGGGAACAAAUGACACACUUUUCUUUUCUUUCACCUGUUCGCUGCGCUUCUUCCAGCAGUCCUCUCUCUCUCUCUCUUUCUCUCCGUCUUCUACUUCCCCCCCCCCCCCCCCCCCCCCCCCGCCACAGGCAGCAGCAGCCCUGACUGACAGCUCAUUGGCUAAUUUACCAUACCAACUUUAUUUAUGAAGCACUUUAUACACCGACAGGACACAGUCAUAAAAUACAAUGUGACUAUAAAAUAGAAAAGAUGGAAUAUAAAAUACACAUUAGAAACAGACACAAUGAAACAAAGUGAAACAGCUCAGGUUGUGCCAAAGAAAAAAGAAGAGACUUAAAAACAACGAGUGAGGCACCUGCAGCCAGGUGUUACCGUAUUAACAGGAGAAGCGGCGCACGUGAAAUUAAACACUGUCCUCAGACAACAUGCAGUCAUUUAUAAAUGAUUUAAAACAGCCUGGGUAUGCUAAUCUGUGACCUUUUCCCCGAGCUCACCUGAGCUCAGGUAAACUCAGGUGAGCUCAGGUAAACUCAGGUGAGCAUAGGUAAACUCAGGUGAGCUCAGGUAUAUUCAGGUAAACUCAGGUGAGCUCAGGUAAACUCAGGUGAGCUCAGGUAAACUCAGGUGAGCUCAGGUAAGCUCAGGUAAACUCAGGUGAGCUCAGGUAAACUCAGGUGAGCUCAGGUAAACUCAGGUGAGCUCAGGUAAAUUCAGGUAAACUCAGGUGAGCUCAGGUAAACUCAGCUGAGCUCAGGUAAACUCAGGUGAGCUCAGGUAAACUCAGGUGAGCUCAGGUAAACUCAGCUGAGCUCAGGUAAACUCAGGUGAGCUCAGGUAAAUUCAGGUAAACUCAGGUGAGCUCAGGUAAACUCAGCUGAGCUCAGGUAAACUCAGGUGAGCUCAGGUAAACUCAGGUGAGCUCAGGUGAGCUCAGGUAAACUCAGGUGAGCUCAGGUAAACUCAGGUGAGCUCAGGUAAACUCAGGUGAGCUCAGGUAAACUCAGGUAAACUCAGGUGAGCGCCGUAACUAACAGGUUCUCCUCGUU